UGGCUCUAGCAUCGAUGAAGAACGCAGCGAAACGCGAUAAGUAGUGUGAAUUGCAGAAUUCAGUGAAUCAUCGAAUCUUUGAACGCACAUGGCGCCCCCCGGUAUCCCGGGGGGCAUGCCUGUCCGAGCGUCGUUUCAACCCUCGAGCCCACGUGGCCCGGCGUUGGGGAUCUACGCCUGCCGUAGGCCCCGAAAAGCAGUGGCGGACCCGCGUCGGCCCCCCCUUUGCGUAGUAGCAUCAGCCUCGCAUCGGGAGCCCGCGGGCUUUCCUAGCCUCUAAACCCCCCCCAAAGCCCGUCUCCGGCGGCACCAAGGUUGACCUCGGAUCAGGUAGGAAUACCCGCUGA
rnacentral:misc_RNA from 1 species